rnacentral:lncRNA from 1 species
GCAUAUUUCCCUGACAAGUGAUGUGAGAGGUGACUGGAAGAGUUCGUUGACUGUGGAGAUGCCGAUGCAGGGAACCUCUUUCCUUCUUCUGCAGAGCAGAAAUUUGCCUACGUGCUCCUUCAGAAAUGGGCUGCCACUGCAUAGCCUCACCUAACCAGCCGUGGAUGAGCGACGAGGACAAGAAAUGUUGGAUUAACUCAGGGGUCUGUGGCUGUCCUUUGUUCUAAAGCUGGUUCAUGAAGAGUUAGAGAGAAACUAGACCAUCCAGGAAAAAAGAGCAAAACAGCGGAAUAUCCUCAGGGAAUCACCAGACUUUCCUCAGCUAGCUAUACAGGUAAGCAGUAAAUCAUGUUGAAAAUUAAUAAUUAGAUGCAUUCGCAGCUGUUUUUGCAAAACUGUUAUUCCAAAGUGCGGAGCCC